rnacentral:misc_RNA from 1 species
GGGUUUGGGGGUGGGAAGUCCAAGUCUUUGUAUGGAAGGGAUGGCCAUUUGGGCACAACUUUGAUCAAGUUUUCGGGUGAUCAGUCUGGCCUCAAUGAAGCCAAGAGGCUGGCUGAAUUUUUUGAGAAGGACAAUCACGGACGUACAGCUUGGGCUCGUGUGCGACCUGCAGCAUUUAGCAGGGAUGAUGAUAAAAAUCCAAAUCUUGUGAAGGUGGAUGAAAAGUCUGGAGAGAGGAAAAGGAUUUUUUAUGGCUAUCUUGCGACUGCAGCUGAUAUGGACAAAGUUGAUUUUGAUACAAGGAAGAAGGUAACCAUAGAGAGCUGCAGGGAUUUCAAAUCGUCCAGGUAGAAUAUCUCAUAAAUAUUGUUCAGCACGUCUUCAAUUUGUGUCCUUGGUUGAACUGCAACACUCAGAGCCACCUCAUUUUUGAGCUCGAUGGUUCAUGGAUGAAGUCUUUACCAAACAACUUGUUGAAUAUUGUCCUUCGUUAAAAGGAGGUGGGUGGUUAUUUGGUCUACCAGA